rnacentral:miRNA from 1 species
UAACAUUAUUUCCCCUAAUCUUAC